CCUAGCUCCACCAGGAAAAUGGCAGCAGAAAGUCACUCUACGGUGACAGAGUUCAUUCUCAGGAAAAAGCCAGCAAGGGCUCCAGCUCCCCCUCUUCUAGGGAUCUGUUUGAAAACCGUAGUGGGGGCCCUCAUCUUGAUCACUCUAGUUUUCCUUAAUUCUCAGCUUCACCCUCCCAUGUACUACGUCAUCAGAAAUUUAUCAUUUAUGGAUCACUGCAAUUGCUCUAUUAGUACCCCUAAAAUACUGGUGAAGUUUGUGUUAGAGAAGACCAUCAUCUCCUAUGAGGACGGCAUGUCACAGCUUUGUAGUGCUUCGUGUUUAUAUUGUCAUGGCCAAGCGUAACAUGCGGACCAGCAACUGCUGUCAUCACAUUUCAUCAAGUCAGCUCCCUGCUGGUAGUUGUAGUAUUUAUAUGGAGUUGACUGGUACAACAAUAGAUAUUUUGCCUUGUAUUAAAAUAGUACUAGUGUGAGUUAUUCAUCAGUCAUACUUCUCUCAUGCACUAGCAUCUAUGAUAUUGAUAGGACAAUUUUCUUUUUUACUUGAUGCAAUAUUGUAGUCACUAGAUUAACAGUUGUUUCCUACUCCUUUUCUCUCCAGCAUCCUCCACAUCAGCUUUACAAAGGGCAAGCUCUGGGUUUUUCCCGUAGGU
rnacentral:lncRNA from 1 species